rnacentral:rRNA from 1 species
UACGGGGGGGGCAAGCGUUGUUCGGAAUUACUGGGCGUAAAGGGCUCGUAGGCGGCCAACUAAGUCGGACGUGAAAUCCCUCGGCUUAACCGGGGAACUGCGUCUGAUACUGGGUGGCUUGAAUCCGGGAGAGGGAUGCGGAAUUCCAGGUGUAGCGGUGAAAUGCGUAGAUAUCUGGAGGAACACCGGUGGCGAAGGCGGCAUCCUGGACCGGCAUUGACGCUGAGGAGCGAAAGCCAGGGGAGCAAACGGG